AGACAGAUCAAGAUAUCCCAACAUUGUGAUUAUGUCAUCAAAUAUAUUUCAAGUUUUCAGUCAAGAUCUAGAUUGAGUGUUUGCAGGAGUCAUUUUUAUAUUGAAGACAGUUUUCUCCCACCUGAAGUCAAUGGAGCUGAUAAAACUUUCACUUAUUGCUUUGUACCCCAACUCUCCAAUCCACAGUACCUGUCAGUAGUUACCAAGCAACAGUGACAAACGUGUGCCUCCUAUACAUUGGCAUUCACUGCCGUUAUGCUGUAUUGUACGAUAUUGCUGCGUAUGUUUACAAUGUUGGCCGGAAUUUGGAAGCUGGUGA